rnacentral:rRNA from 1 species
UACGGGGGGGGGUAAGCGUUGUUCGGAAUUACUGGGCGUAAAGGGCUCGUAGGCGGCCAACUAAGUCAGACGUGAAAUCCCUCAGCUUAACUGGGGAACUGCGUCUGAUACUGGAUGGCUUGGAUUCGGGAGAGGAAUGCGGAAUUCCAGGUGUAGCGGUGAAAUGCGUAGAUAUCGGAGGAACACCGGUGGCGAAGGCGGCAUUCUGGACCGACAUUGACGCUGAGGAGCGAAAGCGUGGGGAGCAAACAGG